CAGUCGCCGCGGGAAUACGAAGGGUGCAAGCGUUACUCGGAAUUACUGGGCGUAAAGCGUGCGUAGGUGGUGGUUUAAGUCCGUUGUGAGAGCCCUGGGCUCAACCUGGGAGUUGCAGUGGAUACUGGGUCACUAGAGUGUGGUAGAGGAUAGUGGAAUUUCCGGUGUAGCAGUGAAAUGCGUAGAGAUCGGAAGGAACAUCUGUGGCGAAGGCGACUAUCUGGGCCAACACUGACACUGAGGCACGAAAGCGUGGGGAGCAAACAGGAUUAGAUACCCGUGUAGUCCCUGUCUCUUAUAC
rnacentral:rRNA from 1 species